rnacentral:rRNA from 1 species
ACUCCUACGGGAGGCAGCAGUGGGGAAUAUUGCACAAUGGGCGCAAGCCUGAUGCAGCCAUGCCGCGUGUGUGAAGAAGGCCUUCGGGUUGUAAAGCACUUUCAGUCGUGAGGAAGGUAGUGUAGUUAAUAGCUGCAUUAUUUGUACGUUAGCGACAGAAGAAGCACCGGCUAACUCCGUGCCAGCAGCCGCGGUAAUACGGAGGGUGCGAGCGUUAAUCGGAAUUACUGGGCGUAAAGCGCAUGCAGGUGGUUUGUUAAGUCAGAUGUGAAAGCCCGGGGCUCAACCUCGGAAUAGCAUUUGAAACUGGCAGACUAGAGUACUGUAGAGGGGGUUAGAAUUUCAGGUGUAGCGGUGAAAUGCGUAGAGAUCUGAAGGAAUACCGGUGGCGAAGGCGGCCCCUGGACAGAUACUGACACUCAGAUGCGAAAGCGUGGGAGC